rnacentral:rRNA from 1 species
AUUGAACGCUGGCGGCAGGCCUAACACAUGCAAGUCGAGCGGUAGCACAGAGAGCUUGCUCUCGGGUGACGAGCGGCGGACGGGUGAGUAAUGUCUGGGAAACUGCCUGAUGGAGGGGGAUAACUACUGGAAACGGUAGCUAAUACCGCAUAACGUCGCAAGACCAAAGUGGGGGACCUUCGGGCCUCAUGCCAUCAGAUGUGCCCAGAUGGGAUUAGCUAGUAGGUGGGGUAACGGCUCACCUAGGCGACGAUCCCUAGCUGGUCUGAGAGGAUGACCAGCCACACUGGAACUGAGACACGGUCCAGACUCCUACGGGAGGCAGCAGUGGGGAAUAUUGCACAAUGGGCGCAAGCCUGAUGCAGCCAUGCCGCGUGUGUGAAGAAGGCCUUCGGGUUGUAAAGCACUUUCAGCGGGGAGGAAGGCGUUAAGGUUAAUAACCUUGGCGAUUGACGUUACCCGCAGAAGAAGCACCGGCUAACUCCGUGCCAGCAGCCGCGGUAAUACGGAGGGUGCAAGCGUUAAUCGGAAUUACUGGGCGUAAAGCGCACGCAGGCGGUCUGUCAAGUCGGAUAUGAAAUCCCCGGGCUCAACCUGGGAACUGCAUUCGAAACUGGCAGGCUAGAGUCUUGUAGAGGGGGGUAGAAUUCCAGGUGUAGCGGUGAAAUGCGUAGAGAUCUGGAGGAAUACCGGUGGCGAAGGCGGCCCCCUGGACAAAGACUGACGCUCAGGUGCGAAAGCGUGGGGAGCAAACAGGAUUAGAUACCCUGGUAGUCCACGCCGUAAACGAUGUCGAUUUGGAGGUUGUGCCCUUGAGGCGUGGCUUCCGGAGCUAACGCGUUAAAUCGACCGCCUGGGGAGUACGGCCGCAAGGUUAAAACUCAAAUGAAUUGACGGGGGCCCGCACAAGCGGUGGAGCAUGUGGUUUAAUUCGAUGCAACGCGAAGAACCUUACCUGGUCUUGACAUCCACAGAACUUUCCAGAGAUGGAUUGGUGCCUUCGGGAACUGUGAGACAGGUGCUGCAUGGCUGUCGUCAGCUCGUGUUGUGAAAUGUUGGGUUAAGUCCCGCAACGAGCGCAACCCUUAUCCUUUGUUGCCAGCGGUUAGGCCGGGAACUCAAAGGAGACUGCCAGUGAUAAACUGGAGGAAGGUGGGGAUGACGUCAAGUCAUCAUGGCCCUUACGACCAGGGCUACACACGUGCUACAAUGGCAUAUACAAAGAGAAGCGACCUCGCGAGAGCAAGCGGACCUCAUAAAGUAUGUCGUAGUCCGGAUUGGAGUCUGCAACUCGACUCCAUGAAGUCGGAAUCGCUAGUAAUCGUAGAUCAGAAUGCUACGGUGAAUACGUUCCCGGGCCU